rnacentral:rRNA from 1 species
UAGUCUGGGAAACUGCCUGAUGGAGGGGGGUAACUACUGGAAACGGUAGCUAAUACCGCAUAAUGUCGCAAGACCAAAUGGGGGACCUUCGGGCCUCAUGCCAUCAGAUGUGCCCAGAUGGGAUUAGCUAGUAGGUGGGGUAAUGGCUCACCUAGGCGACGAUCCCUAGCUGGUCUGAGAGGAUGACCAGCCACACUGGAACUGAGACACGGUCCAG